GACCUGGAGAAGGCAGGGGGCUGGGAAUCUUGGCUGGGCCCAAGACCAAGAAGCCUCCACACAGAGCCCAUCCGUCUUCCCCUUGACCCACUGCUGCAAAAACAUUCCCUCCAAUGCCACCUCCGUGACGCUGGGCUGCCUGGCCACGGGCUACUUCCCGGAGCCAGUGAUGGUGACCUGGGACGCAGGCUCCCUCCAUGGGACAACUAUGACCUUACCAGCCACCACCCUCACACCCUCUGGUCACUAUGCCACCAUCAGCUUGCUGACCAUCUCGGGUGCGUCGGCCAAGCAGAUGUUCACCUGCCGUGUGGCACACACUCCAUCGUCCGCAGACUGGGUUGUCAACAAAACCUUCAGCGUCUGCUCCAGGGACUUCACCCCACCCACCGUGAAGAUCUUACAGUCGUCCUGCGACGGCGGCGGGCACUUCCCCCCGACCAUCCAGCUCCUGUGCCUCGUCUCUGGGUACACCCCAGGGACUAUCAACAUCACCUGGCUGGAGGACGGGCAGGUCAUGGACGUGGACUUGUCCACCGCCUCUGCCACGCAGGAGGGUGAGCUGGCCUCCACACAAAGCGAGCUCACCCUCAGCCAGAAGCGCUGGCUGUCGGACCGCACCUACACCUGCCAGGUCACCUAUCAAGGUGACACCUUUGAGGACAGCACCAAGAAGUGUGCAGAUUCCAACCCGAGAGGGGUGAGCGCCUACCUAAGCCGGCCCAGCCCGUUCGACCUGUUCAUCCGCAAGUCGCCCACGAUCACCUGUCUGGUGGUGGACCUGGCACCCAGCAAGGGGACCGUGAACCUGACCUGGUCCCGGGCCAGUGGGAAGCCUGUGAACCACUCCACCGGAAAGCAGGAGAAGCAGCGCAAUGGCACGUUAACCGUCACGUCCACCCUGCCGGUGGGCACCCGAGACUGGAUCGAGGGGGAGACUUACCAGUGCAGGGUGACCCACCCCCACUUGCCCAGGGCCCUCGUGCGCUCCACGACCAAGACCAGCGGCCCGCGUGCUGCCCCGGAAGUCUACGCGUUUGCGACGCCAGAGGAGCCGGGGAGCCGGGACAAGCGCACCCUCGCCUGCCUGAUCCAGAACUUCAUGCCUGAGGACAUCUCGGUGCAGUGGCUGCACAACGAGGUGCAGCUCCCGGAUGCCCGGCACAGCACGACGCAGCCCCGCAAGACCAAGGGCUCCGGCUUCUUCGUCUUCAGCCGCCUGGAGGUGACCAGGGCCGAAUGGGAGCAGAAAGAUGAGUUCAUCUGCCGUGCAGUCCAUGAGGCAGCGAGCCCCUCACAGACCGUCCAGCGAGCGGUGUCUGUAAAUCCCGGGCUGGCUGGCGGCUCUGCACAGUCCCAGAGGGCCCCGGAUAGGGUGCUCUGCCACUCUGAACAGCAGCCGGGACUGCCGAGAGCGGCAAGGGGCUCUGUCCCCCACCCCCGCUGCCACUGUGGAGCCCGGAGGGCUGACUGGCCAGGUCCCCCAGAGCUGGACGUGUGUGUGGAGGAGGCCGAGGGCGAGGCGCCGUGGACGUGGACUGGCCUCUGCAUCUUCGCCGCACUCUUCCUGCUCAGCGUGAGCUACAGCGCUGCCAUCACGCUCCUCAUGGUGCAGCGGUUCCUCUCAGCCACGCGGCAGGGGAGGCCCCAGACCUCCCUCGACUACACCAACAUCCCCCAGCCCCACGCCUAGGCCGUGGGCCACUCACGCUCCAACAGGCCCAGCUCUUUCUCUGCCGGCGCCUGAGCCUCCCUCGGGCUGCGCCCUGCCCUGGGUGGGAAAAGGGAAGCAGACAAGAGAAGGGGGCACAAGGUCACUACUGUGGGCUGAUGGCCAGUGAAUCUGAGCCCAGAGGGGUCCGGCUCAGCCGCAAGGUUAAAGGCGCCGACAGACCCACCAGUCGCAGCCCCCCACCCUAAAACAGUGUCUGUCCCUUCAACAGAGUCAUCGAGGAGGGGGUGGCUGCUAGCCGUUCUAGCUCAUCCCAGGCCCCUGAGUCUCAGGGUCACUCCCAUUCUGACUGUACAAUCACCAAAAGCCAAGGAGGGCCCGGCACCCAGCCCAGGACACAGCUGAGUCUGCGUCCAGCCCAACACCAGCCCACGGUCUCACUCCCCAGCCUUGGUCUGACCCUUCUAGCCCUGAGGUUCAAGUGCCUGGCAUCCCCGUCCCCCAAGCCUCACUCAGACCUUCUUUCCCUUCACCCACCCCUCCUGCCACCCAUCCCCAGCCCCCAUCCCUUCACCCACCCCUCCUGCCACCCAUCCCCAGCCCCCAUCCCUUCACCCACCCCUCCUGCCAUCCGUCCGCAGCCCCCAUCCCUGCAGCCUGAAGGCACAGGGAAGCCCUCUGAGGCCAGGCCACAGGACUGUUGAGGGCUUUGGGCCUCUGGAGUGGGUAGAGGGGCUCCCACAGCCAGAGAAGGGGUUUCCUGCAGGGACAGCAGCUGCUGACCUCGUCCCUAUGACCUCGUCCAGCCUCUGGCUUCAGCAGUCCUAUUUCUUUCCCUCUGGGUUUCUUAGUAAAGUUCCUUUUCAC